rnacentral:pre_miRNA from 1 species
AAACCGUCCCCAAAGUUUUGCAACUGUAGCAGUUUUGGCCCUCCAACGCCAAUUUUGAUAUAAAAAAAAAACACGUGGCACCUCACUUAGAGUGCCACGUCAGCGAAGACCGAAUCAAAAUUGGCCUUGGGGGCCAAAACUGCCACAUAUGCAAAACUUAAAGGCCGAUU